rnacentral:rRNA from 1 species
GGCGGCGUGCUUAACACAUGCAAGUCGAGCGGAAAGGCCCUUCGGGGGUACUCGAGCGGCGAACGGGUGAGUAACACGUGAGCAACCUGCCCCCGACUCUGGGAUAAGCCCGGGAAACUGGGUCUAAUACCGGAUACGACACACCACCGCAUGGUGGAGUGUGGAAAGUUUUUCGGUUGGGGAUGGGCUCGCGGCCUAUCAGCUUGUUGGUGGGGUAGUGGCCCACCAAGGCGACGACGGGUAGCCGGCCUGAGAGGGCGACCGGCCACACUGGGACUGAGACACGGCCCAGACUCCUACGGGAGGCAGCAGUGGGGAAUAUUGCACAAUGGGGGAAACCCUGAUGCAGCGACGCCGCGUGCGGGAUGACGGCCUUCGGGUUGUAAACCGCUUUCAGCAGGGACGGAAAACUGACGGUACCUGCAGAAGAAGCGCCGGCUAACUACGUGCCAGCAGCCGCGGUAAUACGUAGGGCGCAAGCGUUGUCCGGAAUUAUUGGGCGUAAAGAGCUCGUAGGCGGUCUGUCGCGUCGGAUGUGAAAGCUCGAGGCUUAACCUCGGGUCUGCAUCCGAUACGGGCAGACUAGAGGCAGGUAGGGGAGAACGGAAUUCCCGGUGUAGCGGUGAAAUGCGCAGAUAUCGGGAGGAACACCGGUGGCGAAGGCGGUUCUCUGGGCCUGUACUGACGCUGAGGAGCGAAAGCGUGGGGAGCGAACAGGAUUAGAUACCCUGGUAGUCCACGCCGUAAACGUUGGGCGCUAGGUGUGGGGACCUUCCACGGUUUCCGCGCCGCAGCUAACGCAUUAAGCGCCCCGCCUGGGGAGUACGGCCGC